UACGGGGGGAGCAAGCGUUGUUCGGAUUUACUGGGCGUAAAGGGCGCGUAGGCGGUCAGCACAAGUCAGUUGUGAAAUCUCCGGGCUUGACUCGGAAUGGCCAAGUGAAACUGUCAGGCUAGAGUGCAGAAGGGGCAAUCGGAAUUCUUGGUGUAGCGGUGAAAUGCGUAGAUAUCAAGAGGAACACCUGAGGUGAAGACGGGUUGCUGGGCUGACACUGACGCUGAGGCGCGAAAGCCAGGGGAGCAAACGGG
rnacentral:rRNA from 1 species